UACGUAGGGCGCAAGCGUUGUCCGGAAUUAUUGGGCGUAAAGAGCUCGUAGGCGGCCUGUUGCGUCCGCUGUGAAAUCCCGGGGCUUAACCCCGGGCGUGCAGUGGAUACGGGCGGAGCUGGAGGCAGGCAGGGGAGAACGGAAUUCCCGGUGUAGCGGUGAGAUGCGCAGAUAUCGGGAGGAACACCUGUGGCGAAAGCGGCGCACUGGACCACAUCUGACGCUGAGGCGCGAAAGCUAGGGGAGCAAACAGG
rnacentral:rRNA from 1 species